rnacentral:rRNA from 1 species
CAUUAAAGAGUUCUAUAACUCCCAAACCCAUGUGAACAUACCUAACGUUGCCUCGGCAGGUCGCACCUACCUUGUAGCACCCUACCCUGUAGGGCCUACCCGGGAGGUGCGGGUAAGCCUGCCGGCGGCCCACCAAACUCUGUUUGAUAUUGAAUUCUGAACCUAUAACUAAAUAAGUUAAAACUUUCAACAACGGAUCUCUUGGUUCUGGCAUCGAUGAAGAACGCAGCGAAAUGCGAUAAGUAAUGUGAAUUGCAGAAUUCAGUGAAUCAUCGAAUCUUUGAACGCAUAUUGCGCCCAUUAGUAUUCUAGUGGGCAGGACCGUUCGAGCGUCAUUUCAACCCUUAAGCCUUCGUUGCUUAGUGUUGGGAGCCUACGGCAACGUAGCUCCUCAAAGUUAGUGGCGGAGUUGGUUCACACUCUAGACGUAGUAAUUUUUUAUCUCGCCUAUUAGUUGGACUAAUCCCCUGCCGUAAAACCCCCAAUUUAUCAAGGUUGACCUCGAAUCGGUUCAGACAAACUCGCUAAAUUGAAGCAUCUUAGUCAGCGAAGGAAAAGAAACCAACAGGGAUUGCCCUAGUAACGGCGAGUGAAGCGGC